rnacentral:rRNA from 1 species
AUACGGAGGAUCCGAGCGUUAUCCGGAUUUAUUGGGUUUAAAGGGAGCGUAGGUGGAUUGUUAAGUCAGUUGUGAAAGUUUGCGGCUCAACCGUAAAAUUGCAGUUGAAACUGGCAGUCUUGAGUACAGUAGAGGUGGGCGGAAUUCGUGGUGUAGCGGUGAAAUGCUUAGAUAUCACGAAGAACUCCGAUUGCGAAGGUAGCUCACUAGACGGCGAAUGUCACUGAUGCUCGAAAGUGUUGGUAUCAAACAGGAUUAGAUGCCCUGGUAGUCCACACAGUAAACGAUGAAUACUCGAUUUUUGCGAUACACUGCAAGCGGCCAAGCGCAAGCGUUAAGUAUUCCACCUGGGGAGUUCGCUGUCACCGGUGAUGCUGAAAGGAAUUGGCGGGG